rnacentral:rRNA from 1 species
UUAAGCAUAUCAAUAAGCGGAGGAAAAGAAACUAACAAGGAUUCCCCUAGUAACUGCGAGUGAAGCGGGAAAAGCUCAAAUUUGAAAUCUGGCAGUUCUCUUGACUGUCCGAGUUGUAAUCUAGAGAAGUGUUACCUGUGCUGGACCGUGUACAAGUCUUCUGGAAUGGAGCAUCAUAGAGGGUGAGAAUCCCGUCUUUGACAUGGACUACCAGUGCGCUGUGGUGCGCUCUCAAAGAGUCGAGUUGUUUGGGAAUGCAGCUCAAAAUGGGUGGUAAAUGCCAUCUAAAGCUAAAUAUUGGCGAGAGACCGAUAGCGAACAAGUACCGUGAGGGAAAGAUGAAAAGAACUUUGGAAAGAGAGUUAAACAGUACGUGAAAUUGCUGAAAGGGAAACGCUUGAAGUCAGUCACGUUGACUAGAAAUCAGCCUUGCUUUUGCUUGGUGUACUUUCUGGUUUGACGGGUCAGCAUCGAUUUCUUUGACCAUUGGAUAAAGUCUUUGGGAAUGUGGCAUCUUUGGAUGUGUUAUAGCCCAUUGUCGCAUACAAUGGUUGGGAUCGAGGAACUCAGCACGCCGCAAGGCCGGGUUUAGACCACGUUCGUGCUUAGGAUGCUGGCAUAAUGGCUUUAAUCGACCCGUCUU